rnacentral:rRNA from 1 species
UGGGGAAUAUUGGGCAAUGGGCGAAAGCCUGACCCAGCGACGCCGUGUGGGUGAUGAAGGCCUUCGGGUUGUAAAGCCCUGUUGGGUGGAAAGAAGGGCUCUUUGGUGAAUAAUCUUAGAGCCUUGACGGUACCACCAGAGGAAGCACCGGCUAACUCCGUGCCAGCAGCCGCGGUAAUACGGAGGGUGCAAGCGUUGUUCGGAAUUACUGGGCGUAAAGGGCGCGUAGGUGGUUGUGUAAGUCAGAGGUGAAAUCCCGAGGCUCAACUUCGGAACUGCAUCUGAUACUGCAUGACUCGAGUGCAGCAGAGGGAAACGGAAUUCCUGGUGUAGAGGUGAAAUUCGUAGAUAUCAGGAGGAACACCGGUGGCGAAGGCGGUUUCCUGGGCUGACACUGACACUGAGGCGCGAAAGCGUGGGUAGCAAACA